rnacentral:lncRNA from 1 species
GAGAAGCACAAGGACUGGACUUUGACAGGAAGCAACGAGGCAAGAGGGAAGCUCGAGAACAGGUUUUGCUGAGGAUUCCCCCCAAGAAAAGUGCUCCCCGGGAGGCCGUUCCUGGCACCAAGACUGGCGGAGCCACCACACCCGUUAAAGGGAUCCACCUGGACAGCGAUCAGGCCACCUCCAAGGAUCACGUAGGACCAGCAGAAGCAGCGUAAAGUAUUGGAACUUUGAAUCUGACAUCAGAAAGACCUGCACUCAGCCGGGCACGGUGGCUCACGAUUGUAAUCCCAGGCCGAGGCGGUGGAUCACUUGAGAUUCACUGAUUCUAGGUAAAUCAGAGGAACAAGCAACAUGAACAGAAAAAAUGUAGAAAAUGCAAUUAUGCUGAAGUACAAUUGUUGUUUCAGAAGUCCAGCAUCUGGUGUACUUAACAAUAGAGAAUAUAUUAAAUUUUUCCAAAAUAAAAAAAACAA